ACUAAAGACUUCCAGGACUAAGUGGUCUGUGAGGUGCAGGGGGGACCCCACACCCUCACAGAGGAACCUUGGGAAGCUUCCAAGAGGAGGUGAUGUCUGAUUUGGGCUUUAGGGGACAAACAGGAAUAUCACAGGGCCAGGAAGGCCAUUCCAGGCACGGGGAAGGGGCAAGCAGAGGCUGGGAGGUGGGAGGGAGAGCAUGAGGCUUGAGGAAGAUAGAGGACAAUUGAGCUGUUAUUGAGUGAGUGGAGGACAAUUUCUGCCUGAGAAAUGACCUGCUGUGGGACCUCAAGGAAAGUCCCUUCUCUAGGUCCCAUUUUCUGGGACACGAAAUGAAGGUUUGCUUAAUAAUUCAGGAUCAGAGUUCAAAUGGAAACACUUGACAUUUACAAGCUGUAUGACUCCGGCAAAUUGCUUAACUCUGAUUACCCCCAAAAAUUCCCAUGGAGAAUCCAGGCAACAGAGGGGAGGAGGACGAGCAUCCCAGGCAUGGGGAUCUGCGGGACAAAAGCCUGGAUCGGGAGAUGGAGAAGACCGGUCUUGUGCAAGGAGCAGCCAGGAGGCCACUGACACUGGAUGGAAGAAUCUAUGGGGUGGCGAAAGUGAGAUAUAGGAAGCCGGGAUAGGCAGGAGGGGACCCGGCUGUGGAAGGCAUAAAUAUCCAAAGUGAGGUGAUUUUUGUUUUGUUUUUACCAUGGAAGAGCUUUAUUAUUCCUUUUUUUUCCAUUAAUUUUUUUAUUUUCCUCAGUCCCAUGUAAAACAACAUUUUUAAAUUUUUUAUUUUACGUGUACAUUCAUUUUUUAUAUAGAAUCAUGUUGGGAGAGAAAAGUUAGCUCAAAAGGGAAAAACCAGGAGAAUUCAGUCUCCAUGAUUCUCUCUCCCGACGCGUUUCCACCCAAAGUUUAUGGAAUCGCCUUGGGGGAGAAAGAUCAAAGCGAUCGGGGCUGAUCCUGCACAACCUGCGGUGCGGGCCUUUCCUAGGCGGAUGGGAGGCGGGACUCCUCCGGGGAACUGCGGACCUCUUCCCGAAGGCCCUGCAGUGUCCGGGGCUGGCGGCCCCCGGCCCAGGAGCGGGCCGCUCCCUCCGGCCCAGCAGGGCCCGUCUGAAAUCCCUGCGGCCGCCCAGCCCGAGCGGCUUCCGCCCCUUCCGAUCCCUGUGAGGGCUGUGCGGCCCGGGAGAGCGCAAAUUCUCUUCGGUCCCGGAGGCUGAGCACCUGACGCGGGGCUGGGACCGGGACCGGGGGGGCUGCGGCAGAAGCGGGAGGAGUCCGGGAGCCAGGCAGCCGGAGAGGGGGAAGGCGAAGGAGGAAGGGGAGGAAGGACCGGCUCCGGCUCCGGGCCCGGGGCGCUGACCCGGCUCCGGCUCCCUUCCCUUCCUGCUUCCACCCCCGGACAGUAAAUGAUGGGGCAUGGAAUGGUCACAUCAAAGGGUUAGGAAAAGUCCUUUGUUUUCUGAGGAGGGGCUGGAUGGGCGUGGGGGGGGGGAAAUGGAGGCAGGGAGGCCAGAGAGGAGCCCCUUGAGGGGUCCGGACAUGAACCGGUGGGAGCCUGCCCCGGCGGGAGACUGAGGGAAGCCGCCGAGGUGGAGGCCGUCAAGUGCAGCUCCCUAUUUAUACCGAAGAGGAAACUGAGUCCUGGGGAGGGGUCCCACAGGUAGAGUCAGGUUUCAUAGCCAGCCCCCUCCCAAGGAGGCAGAUUAAUCAAUCAUUUAAUUAAUUAUUAAUUAAUUUCUUUAUUUAUCCUUUAUUUGUUAGUAAUGAUUAUAUAAAUUAACUCGUUGAUGGGUUGCUUAAUUACUAAAUUAAAGGCUGAUUGGAGGCUGGCAGUCAGGGGAAGGGGAGGAUUUGGGGGAGGACGAUUGGAGUAAUGGGAAUGAGCUUCCUUCCCCUCCUUCUGCCUCGGAGCCAGGAAUGCCCCUGCUGGGAUGGGGGGAAGGGCAGACUGAGCUGCCAGCCCCUGGCUGCCCACAGGACACUGCCAAAUUCCUCACCUCCUCCUGCUUCUGGGUGGGUCCUGCCCCCCACUGUCCCUCACCCUUGAGCACCCCUUGUUGUUCCCCCUCUGGCAACCAUGGGAAGGGGGAAGGCUUAUCUAAGUCCUCCUCCUAUCCUGAGAGUGCUCCUGCUUCUGUAUCCCCAAAGGCUCAGCCAAGCCUAGCUUGGGGUCCACUCUGACCUUUAUGUGGGUAUCUAAAGCAGACCAGAAGGUCCAGGUUCAGGGGCCCCACUGCUCCCCAAAGGCCCAGCCCUUCCCUACCCAAGCUUGGGGUCCACCGUGACCACUGUCUAAGGCAGACCAGAAGGCCCAGAGUUCCAGAGCCUCGGCUGCCCACGGGGUCUCUGGGCAAAUUUCCUUCCUUCCUUGCCCCCGACUCCCUCCCCAUCUUGCCCCCCUGCAUGCAGCAUCUGACCCACAUAGUAGCCCUCGGUAAAUGCUCAUUGACUGACUGACAGACCGACUCUUGCUUCUGCCCACCCACGAGUGCCCCGUCCCUCCUCUUCCUGCACAGACUCCCUUGCCCCUCAGUGCAAGAAGGCUGUCGGACAAGCUGGCAUCCUAGGCCCCUGCCAACCCUAGAACUGCGGGCUCAUCACCCUUUGCUAAGGGCUGGCAUUCGGACGGAGGCUGUUGGUCUGAGCCCCAGCUGGCACAGUGAAGAGGGCCCUGGGCCUGGCAGGAGGUUGAUCUGAGCUCAGAUUCAGUUCUGGGUCUGCCUUAGUUUCUCCCAGUAUAAAACGGGCAGAAUCACCUGCUUCCCAGGGUUGUAAAGACUUUAGAAUACCAUAUGAACACAUUUUGUUCGGUCCUGACUCUUCGCGAUCCCAUCUGGGAUUUUACUGGCAAAGCUACAGGAAUGGUUUUCCAUUUCCUUCUCCUGAGGCAAGUGGGCCGAGUGACUUGCCCAGGGUCUCGCAGCUAGAAAGGGCCAGAUCUGCCCUCAUGUAGCUCUUAUAGAUCAUUUCUGCACCAAAACAGGAAGCGAUGGUCUCCCGGAGGUGGGGAGGAGAGGUUUUGAGGGGCAUUAAUCAGCUGACAGACAAGUGGUGCUGGUGGGGAGGCCCUGGAGGACCGGACCCUCUCCUUCCAUUUCUGUCCCUGCCUGGCUGUUUCAGCACAGUCCAGCAGGGACCCUCUCCACAGCACGAUGCUUUUCUCCCAACAGUCUUGGGUGUUUGGACUCGGGAUGAAGGCCUCUGAAUUUCCCUGGGCUGUCUCUUCUUGGAAGAAUCCAUCUGACUUCCACGGUCCGCUAUAAGCAAGGCACUGGUCGGCUCUGUGGCAGAGCUGCUGUGGGCCGAGCCCCUGGGGUCCAGUUUCUAGGGACAGCCGUUCCCUAUCCACACCAAUGGCUGGCGAGAGGCCCCCUCUGGCCCGGGCCGACCUUCAGGCCAGGUGCCACCUGCUCUGCCCCCUCCCUCACCCCGCCCAAGCUUGCCAGUGCUGGGGGGAGUUUCCCUGCCUCUUUCCCCCGAUUUGCUUCUGUCCAGUGCUCUCAGGGCUAUGCUUGGUCAGCGUUCCAUCUCGGCCCGAAGGAAAGAUCAGAACACUAGAGUGCCAUUUCCAAAGGUCCUUGAUCCCUGGUCCACAAGGGGAGAGGGGAAAUCAAUGAUUUUGCAACCGUGAGAAUCGUGGAUUUGUGCCAGGGGCAGGAUGGGCAGGGAACUGAGCCCUGAUAGCAAGAAUCAGAUUCGGGCAUUGGAACUUACAAGCUGUGUGACCCUAGGCAGAGUAAAUGUUCCUGACUCUAUCCCAUACUGCUCCUGCCUCCUCCCCAGGAUCUGUGGGAGCAUCCUCAGGCCUGGACUCUCUGGAUUUCUCCCCCACCUCCUUUAAAAGAACUUCAGAUCCAGACUGGGAAGAAGACAUCAGUGCAGUGGAUCAUUCAAAGAACAGAAAGGUUUGCCCAAAGCCACGCAAGUCCAUAAUCUACCUCAAUCGCAAUUUUCUUUCUAUAAAAUGGGGCCAAUGUUAAUAGCUUAUCUCACAAUGUUGUUGAAAAAAUCGAAUUAAAUCAAAUUAUGAGA